rnacentral:rRNA from 1 species
AGAGCGAACGCUGGCGGCAGGCCUAACACAUGCAAGUCGAGCGCCCGUAGCAAUACGGGAGCGGCAGACGGGAUAGUAACACGUGGGAACGCGCCCUUCGGUUCGGAAUAACUCAGGGAAACUUGAGCUAAUACCGGAUACGCCCUUACGGGGAAAGAUUUAUUGCCGAAGGAACGGCCCGCGUCCGAUUAGCUAGUUGGUGAGGUAAUGGCUCACCAAGGCGACGAUCGGUAGCUGGUCUGAGAGGAUGACCAGCAUCACUGGGACUGAGACACGGCCCAGACUCCUACGGGAGGCAGCAGUGGGGAAUAUGGACAAUGGCGCAAGCCUGAUCCAGCCAUGCCGCGUGGAUGAUGAAGGCCUUAGGGUUGUAAAGUCCGUUUUAACGGGGAAGUAUAAGUGACGGUACCCGUAGAAUAAGCCCCGGCUAACUUCGUGCCAGCAGCCGC